UACCUAGCGGCAGACGGGUGCGUAACAUGUGGGAAUCUGCCUUUUGGUUCGGAACAACAUGGGGAAACCUGUGCUAAUACCGGAUAAGUCCUAACGGAGAAAGUUUUAAUGCCAAAAGAUGAGCCCGCAUUUGAUUAGCUUGUUGGUGAGGUAAAAGCUCACCAAGGCUACAAUCAAUAGCUGAUUUGAGAGGAUGAUCAGCCACACUGGGACUGAGAUACGGCCCAGACUCCUACGGGAGGCAGCAGUGGGGAAUCUUGCACAAUGGGCGAAAGCCUGAUGCAGCGAUGCCGCGUGAGUGAAGAAGGCCUUUGGGUUGUAAAGCUCUUUUGUCGGGAAAGAUAAUGACUGUACCCGAAGAAUAAGGUCCGGCUAACUUCGUGCCAGCAGCCGCGGUAAUACGAAGGGACCUAGCGUAGUUCGGAAUUACUGGGCGUAAAGAGUAUGUAGGCGGCUAGAUAAGUUAAUUGUGAAAGCCCAAAGCUUAACUUUGGAACUGCAAUUA
rnacentral:rRNA from 1 species